rnacentral:rRNA from 1 species
GACGAACGCUGGCGGCGUGCUUAACACAUGCAAGUCGAACGGAAAGGCCCUGCUUUUGUGGGGUGCUCGAGUGGCGAACGUGUGAGUAACACGUGAGUAACCUGCCCUUGACUUUGGGAUAACUUCAGGAAACUGGGGCUAAUACCGGAUAGGAGCUCCUGCUGCAUGGUGGGGGUUGGAAAGUUUCGGCGGUUGGGGCUGGACUCGCGGCUUAUCAGCUUGUUGGUGGGGUAGUGGCUUACCAAGGCUUUGACGGGUAGCCGGCCUGAGAGGGUGACCGGCCACAUUGGGACUGAGAUACGGCCCAGACUCCUACGGGAGGCAGCAGUGGGGAAUAUUGCACAAUGGGCGGAAGCCUGAUGCAGCAACGCCGCGUGCGGGAUGACGGCCUUCGGGUUGUAAACCGCUUUCGCCUGUGACGAAGCGUGAGUGACGGUAAUGGGUAAAGAAGCACCGGCUAACUACGUG